rnacentral:rRNA from 1 species
GACGAACCGUGCGAACGUUAUUCGGAAUCACUGGGCUUAAAGGGCGCGUAGGCGGGCUCGCCAGUCAGGGGUGAAAGCCUCCAGCUCAACUGGAGAAGUGCCUUUGAUACUGCGAGCCUCGAGGGAGGUAGGGGCGUGCGGAACUUCCGGUGGAGCGGUGAAAUGCGUAGAUAUCGGAAGGAACACCGGUGGCGAAAGCGGCGCGCUGGACCUCUUCUGACGCUGAGGCGCGAAAGCCAGGGGAGCAAACGGG